rnacentral:misc_RNA from 1 species
CAGAGUUAGGGUCUUCUAGGCCCGACCUCCAACCCUUUGUCAAAUUUACUUUGUUGCUUUGGCGAGCCCGUCCUUGCGGACCGCCGGGAGUUACUCCAAACUUCUGGCCAGUGCUUGCCAAUAGCCCACUUAAAUUCUUUACAAAUUUGUCGUCUGAAGUGAUAAUCAAAUUAUCUA